CAUCUUUUGGGGAUAUCAAUCCAGGAAAGUGGAAGGAUAUCAUGUUUACUGGAAGUGGUGCGGCCUAGUAAAAAUAGCAAACAGAAAGUAGAAAAAAAAUGUUUUGACUUCAGGAUUGCGUACUUUUUAUUCUUCGUGGCAAGACCCCCUUUUUUUUCUCGAUUAAAUCACAAUUUCACAUUAGUACAUACAUGAUAUGAACAUGAAUUUUUUUUCUAUGUAGCAUUUUUAUUUUUUUAUUUUCAAAGAUCAGCUGUUUUGCAUGUAAGCCUAUGGAGCAGUCAAUUACAAGACUGCAACCUGCAUAGGGUAAUUUUUUCAUAUGUAACUGCAAGGAAGUAGCUCUGUGGACUUUGUGUGCCAGAAUGAUAAAACAUCAUGAUUUAAGAACUUUUUAAGAGAAAAAAAUCAUGGGGUAUCAAGUUACACUGAAAAAACUGAAAUUAUGUAAUAAUUAUGCAUUUUUAUACUCGACACCAUUCAAAAGUAUUAAUAGAUAUUAAAGCACAACAGUUUGAGGCGAAUUGAGAUUUUGAUGGUAUUACAUACAUGAUUUUCAAUUAAAAAGAACAUAGAAAGAUUUUUUUUCUCAAUGAAAUCUUCUUCUUAUGAUGAAAGUUUUAGUUGCACAGUUUUAUUGAAAAUUAGAGCAAAGUUGAAGAGACAGCUUCAUACAAAAGUAAUGUUUUUCUUUAGGGUUAUUAUUUUCAUGGCUCAAUUGUUGACAUUUAGGUAGAAUAUGUAUAAAAUGAACUUUUAGUGAAAAGAUUUUUACAAAAUGUUCAUUUUUCAUGAGUCUAUACUUCUUUUCCUGUCUGCGGCACUGCAUGGUUAAUUGAAAUUUCCAUAUUUGGGUUAAAAAUUUGUUUAAAAAGUAGAAUUUUUCUAAAACUAUCCAUCAUGACAAGGAUUUUUGUGAUUAGGUGUGACAAGUAAUCAAUAUUCUUACCAAAAACACCAACUUGAGUAUUCAUUUUGUUUUUUCUUGAAUUUUAUUUCAAAUUUUAUAUGCAUUGGUGGGUCAAGUACAGUCUAAAAACCAGGAUAUAGUAGGCAUGCAUAAAGACCAGUAUAGUCAGAAAAGAGAAAGGUAUGGUCUUUCUUGUGUCCAGAUAGUUGUACUGUAGCAAAUUCUUCAAUUAUGAAAAAGUUUUGGGUAGUUUUUCAAUUUGACUUAAACAAGGCCCACUUGGGUAAUUUAUUGAAAAAAGGGAGGGGUAACUAUUGAAUGUGGUUCAUUUAAACAGGAGGAAAAAAAUAAAAAUAAUAGAUAAGAAUACUCUCCUAGCUCCACUGUAUUCAAAUAAUAGGAAAACAUUCAUAAAGAUAGACUAGAAUGAGAUUUACAGAUCAUUUAGUAGACAUGACUGAUUUCCAAAUUUGCCUUUUUCAGAAAGGGGUUCUGCUUUAUAGUGGGGUUAUUUUUUAUUAAUACAGCCAACAGUUUUAUAAUGGCAUUUUUAUGUUAAAUUGGCUACUUAAUAAACUAAGUAAAUGAUUUAUUUUUUUAAGACAUGUCAUUAUUGUUAUAGGUACCAGUCUUGUAUUACAACUCCAGUUUCCGGUGCAUGUCAUAACAUGGAGGGAAACAAAAUAGUGCAUUUUUUUCUGAACUCAAUUUUUUCUGUUUGAUUAUAGGAUUAUGCUGAAUUGAAACAUAUAUAUAGACUUUAAAAAAAAUCUUGCAUCUUUUGGGGAUAUCAAUCAGGAAGUGAAGAUAUCAUGUUUACUGGAAGUGAUGCGGCCUAGUAAAAAUAGCAAACAGAAAGUAGAAAAAAAAAGUUUUGACUUCAGGAUUGCGUAACUUUUUAUUCUUCGUGGCAAGACCCCCUUUUUUUUUGAUUAAAUCACAAUUUCACAUUAGUACAUACAUGAUAUGAACAUGAAAAUUUUUUUCUAUGUAGCAUUUUUUAUUUUUUUAUUUUCAAAGAUCAGCU
rnacentral:lncRNA from 1 species